UGGGGUGUAGUGGGGUAGUGAGGGCCUGGGGGUCAGUGGGGGGGAGGCUGCAGUGGGGGCUGUGGGAGGCAGGGUUUGGGGUCUCUGGGGGCUUUGGGACUGUGUAGAGGUCGGUAGGAGGGCUGGGGUGCUGUGCAAGGACAGCCCCGGGGUGUGGCUGCUCCCUGGGGAGGCGUUGGGCCCACAGCUGGGUGGGGAGCAGGGGGAGAGCUCUUUAGGGCCUGUGGGGUGUAAGGGGUGAGCUGUGUGGUGGGGAGGGGGCUGCAGGGCCAGCAGCCAGAGCAGGAUUUGGUUUUGCCGUGGAGUGUCCCAAAACUUUGUGUGUCCCAGGGUUUCCUGCCGGGGCUCAGCCCCAGGUGGUGACACAGGUGGGACUGGGUGCUUCCAUUCCUGAGGUGAGGGAGCACCAGGUGGCUGGACCAGGAGGUAAUUCUGCUUCUUGCAGUUUGGUAAUACCUGUGUGGUCUUUUUGGGUUAUCACAGAAUCAUAGAAGGGUUUGGCUGAAAGAGAGCAUAGAGACCAUAUCCUUCCACCCCCUGCCAUGGGCAGGGACACCUUCCUCUAUCCCAGGUUGCUCCAAGCCCAGUCCAACCUGGCCUUGAGUACGUCCACAGCGUCUCUGGGCGCCCUGUGCCAGGGCCUCCGCACCCUCCCUAAUUCCCUAAAACCCUUCUCUGUGCCUGUUGAAACCAUUCUCCCUUGUCCUGGCACUCCAUGCUUUUGUAACAAGUCCCCCUCCAGGUUUCCUGUAGGUUAUAGAAAGCAAUUGUGCCUAAUGGAUGAUGAACGUGAAUAAAAUCCAUUUUUCAAAGCUGA